CUCUGCAGGUAGGGCUGAGACAAAGCGGUUGCGCUCCGGCGGCGGCGCGCGGGCGCGUGCGCAGGACCUACCGUGCGUUCUUGACCAAACUGAGGUGGUCUUUCCUGGGAGAGAGCUGUGUCCCCCCGCAAGUCCCAGAAGUGCCUACCUUACCAGGGUGACCCUGAGGGAAAGGUAGAGCAGAGGAAGGCUUCUUUCAUAGGUCUGCACCCCUGAGGAAAGCAGACCCCAGAAGGGGGUACACAGGAGCCUCCUCUGAUCCUGCAGUCCGAUUAGCUGCAGCAAGCUUCCAGGAUCCUUGUCCCCAUCGGGUCUGCAUUCCGUCACAGUGACCGGACAGUACACCUACAGAUUUCCUCAGUUUGGAUGCCCAGGGAUAUGUAUGGUCAUCUGCUUCCUCUGUCCCUGUCUCAUCCCUAAUUACCUGGAACCCACAAGGCGCGUUUGAAGCUGCUUUCCCUGUCUGUGCACAUCCAACCCAGAAUGACGGAGGACAAGCCUGGCCAUGAUGGGGGGGGGGCAUUUCCUGCCUUUCGCUGCUUUCUGGCAGGAGGACAGAUGUGAACUGGUGUGCCCCUAUCCCCUGUGUGGCUUGGUGACUCCCCCUGCUGUGUCACCAAACAUGGAUUUCUUCAAGAUGGACAAUCAUGUUGAGUAGCAUGUCCUGUAGGUAAGGGUCACCUUCCUGCCCUCCUGAGCCCAAAGAAGCUAGCACCCAUUUAGGGUGAGCACCUAUUUACUUUAUGUAUUCUUUCUCCUUUCUG